rnacentral:rRNA from 1 species
GACGAACGCUGGCGGCGUGCUUAACACAUGCAAGUCGAGCGGAAAGGCCCUUUCGGGGGUACUCGAGCGGCGAACGGGUGAGUAACACGUGAGUAAUCUGCCCUUCACUUUGGGAUAACCCCGGAAACGGGAGCUAAUACCGGAUAUGACCGGCAACCGCAUGGUUUGUUGGUGGAAACUUUUUGGGUGGGGGAUGUGCUCGCGGCCUAUCAGCUUGUUGGUGGGGUAAUGGCCUACCAAGGCUUUGACGGGUAGCCGGCCUGAGAGGGUGACCGGCCACACUGGGACUGAGACACGGCCCAGACGCCUACGGGAGGCAGCAGUGGGGAAUAUUGGACAAUGGGCGGAAGCCUGAUCCAGCAACGCCGCGUGAGGGAUGACGGCCUUCGGGUUGUAAACCUCUUUCAGCACCGACGAAGCGUGAGUGACGGUAGGUGCAGAAGAAGGACCGGCCAACUACGUGCCAGCCGCCGCGGUAAUAC